UGGGGAAUAUUGCACAAUGGGCGAAAGCCUGAUGCAGCGACGCCGCGUGCGGGAUGAAGGCCUUCGGGUUGUAAACCGCUUUUGAUUGGGAGCAAGCGAGAGUGAGUGUACCUUUCGAAUAAGCACCGGCUAACUACGUGCCAGCAGCCGCGGUAAUACGUAGGGUGCAAGCGUUAUCCGGAAUUAUUGGGCGUAAAGAGCUCGUAGGCGGUUUGUCGCGUCUGGUGUGAAAGUCCAUCGCUUAACGGUGGAUCUGCGCCGGGUACGGGCAGGCUAGAGUGCGACAGGGGAGACUGGAAUUCCCGGUGUAACGGUGGAAUGUGUAGAUAUCGGGAAGAACACCAAUGGCGAAGGCAGGUCUCUGGGUCGUCACUGACGCUG
rnacentral:rRNA from 1 species